rnacentral:lncRNA from 12 species
AAAAAAUAUGUAUGCACAUAUUUAUACAUACACACACACACACAUAUAUAGAUAUGUGCAUAUGUAUACAUAUAUAUACAUACACACAUGAAUAGAUGGAUAGAUAGGCAGAUAGAUAGAUGGAGAUAUAAAAAUCAUGAAUAUGUAUAUAAAAUCAUGCUUUCAGGUUGUCCCAGGAGAAGGCUGGUGGCAUCCUACCCCUACAGCUCCACAGUCCCCUCCGGGCACUGCCUGAAAUCAGGCUCGAGGAGGGCUUGGGCGAUUACUGGCAGGACUCUGGCGGCCUUGGGAGCAGUGUUCCGGCGAGCCCCGUGCGCGGCAGGUGGCGUCGCAGCUCCACGGGAGAAGGGCGGCUGCGGGUGGGAGGCGCGGGGAUGCGGGGAUGCGGCUCAGGGAUGUGGAGAUGUGGCUCAGGGAUGCAGGAUGUGGCUCAGGGAUGCAGGAUGUGGCUCAGGGACGCAGGAUGUGGCUCAGGGAUACAGGAUGUGGCUCAGAGAUGCAGGAUGUGGCUCAGGGAUGCAGGAUACCCCCCCCCCCCCCCCCCCCCCCCCCCCCCCCCCCCCCCCCCCCCCCCCCCCCCCCCCCCCCCCCCCCCCCCCCCCCCCCCCCCCCCCCCCCCCCCCCCCCCCCCCCCCCCCCCCCCCCCCCCCCCCCCCCCCCCCCCCCCCGAUGUGGCUCAGGGAUGCAGGAUGUGGCUCAGGGAUGCAGGAUGUGGCUCAGGGAUUCAGGAUGUGGCUCAGGGAUGUGGGGAUGUGGCUCAGGGAUGCAGGAUGUGGCUCAGGGAUGCCGGGAUCGGGCUUGGGAAUGUGCAGAGACACUCAGGGGCAGGGAGGAGGGCAAUGGGCUCGGUCUCUGCCAGCACAAAGAGUUUCUUGUGCUUCCCCAAGUUUGCCCCCGUGGCAGUGCUGGGGUUUGUUGGCCUCUUCUCCUUUGUGGUCCUCGUGGAUGUUUGUGUGUGGGAACUGUUGAUCCCAGGCAAAGCUGUUU